rnacentral:rRNA from 1 species
CUACGGGUGGCACCAGCAGGGAAUAUUGCACAAUGGGCGAAAGCCUGAUGCGGCGACGCCGCGUGAGGGAUGAAGGCCUUCGGGUUGUAAACCUCUUUCAGGAGGGAAGAAGCGAAAGUGACGGUACCUCCACAAGAAGCCCCGGCCAACUACGUGCCAGCAGCCGCGGUAAUACGUUGGGGGCAAGCGUUGUCCGGAUUCAUUGGGCGUAAAGAGCUCGUAGGCGGCUCAGCAAGUCGGUCGUGAAAGCCCGGGGCUCAACCCCGGGACGCCGAUCGAAACUGCUGUGGCUAGGGUCCGGUAGAGGAGAGUGGAAUUCCCGGUGUAGCGGUGAAAUGCGCAGAUAUCGGGAGGAACACCAGUAGCGAAGGCGGCUCUCUGGGCCGGCACCGACGCUGAGGAGCGAAAGCUAGGGGAGCAAACAGGAUUAGAUACCCCGGUAGUC